ensembl:snRNA predicted gene, 23387
AUGCUUGUUUUCAUAGCAUAAAUACUAACAUUGUAACAGUACAGAAUAGGUUGGUGUGGCCCCUAGGCAAAGAUUAUAGUCAAACUUAGGAAGUGUUUCAUAGCUUU